rnacentral:rRNA from 1 species
GACGAACGCUGGCGGCGUGCUUAACACAUGCAAGUCGAGCGGUAAGGCCCUUUCGGGGGUACACGAGCGGCGAACGGGUGAGUAACACGUGGGUGACCUGCCCUCAGCUCUGGGGUAAGCCUGGGAAACCGGGUCUAAUACCGGAUAUGACUCCAUGACGCAUGUUGUGGGGUGGAAAGCCUUGUGCGGCUGAGGAUGGGCCCGCGGCCUAUCAGCUUGUUGGUGGGGUGAUGGCCACCAAGGCGACGACGGGUAGCCGGCCUGAGAGGGCGACCGGCCACACUGGGACUGAGACACGGCCCAGACUCCUACGGGAGGCAGCAGUGGGGAAUCUUGCGCAAUGGGCGAAAGCCUGACGCAGCGACGCCGCGUGAGGGAUGACGGCCU